GUGUCAGGUAAAAACGCUUGCUUUUUGUACAGUGUUUAACAGCAAGUUUAAUUUCAGAAUCAUAACACUGUAGCUUAUUUGAAAUCCUCUUUGUUUAUACUUUCCUCCCAAUGCUUGCUCACUUGUAACUGGCUCAUGUUAGUCACGCACACUCACCCCAGAGAAAAUAUGUACUCAGAUUGCUAAACAUGGCUGGAAAACACUUUUUUCUUGCCUUUUUUUUUUUUUUUUUGGCCAGUAAAAUGUUCCCAGUCAUCUUUGGCUCUUGUACUUUCCUCAAUGGUCUUUUACAGUUUUCCCAAGAACACAACCACCUGGGAAGGCAAAGGAGAGGGUUCAACUCGGAGAUCAUGGAGCAAUUCACCCAUUUCCGGGAACAUCGACAACCCAGGAGGCAGCCCCUGGCGAGGAGAGCACCUUUCCGGAAGAUGCGUUCCUGAGCUUAGAACAGGCUGUUACUGUGGUUCUCACGACCCUCCUGUAAGAUGUCACAGCAUGCCAAGACAUAGGCUCCUUCUCUUGCAUGAGGCAGCUUCCACAGACAGAUGUGGUAACCAGACUUCUGGCUUGAACAACAGCCCUGUUUAUAAAAAGCUUCCAAAAAACACCUGAGUGUGCUCAGGAUUUAUUGGUUUUUUUCCUAUUUUGUAGGGAACAACUUCUUUUUAUCAGGAGAGGAUCUUUUCUUUUCUAGAAAUAAUGUUCUUUGGUUUCUGCUAUGUUUGAAUGCCUUCCCCACCCCCAAUUCUUAUGUUAGAACUGUAAUCUGUAUCAAUAGAUACUGAUGGUAUUUGGAGGUGGGGCCUUUGGAGGAAAUUAGGAUUAAAUGAAGUAAUGAGGAAGGGGCCCCAUAGCAGCAUACAUAAGUGGUUUUAUAUGAAGAUGAGGAGACACCCAAGCUAGCAUGCUCUCUGGCAUUUUAC
rnacentral:lncRNA from 1 species